GGGGGCAGUCUACACAUGCAGUCGAGCGGAACGAGUUAUCUGAACCUUCGGGGAACGAUAACGGCGUCGAGCGGCGGACGGGUGAGUAAUGCCUAGGAAAUUGCCCUGGUGUGGGGGAUAACCAUUGGAAACGAUGGCUAAUACCGCAUAAUACCUACGGGUCAAAGAGGGGGACCUUCGGGCCUCUCGCGUCAGGAUAUGCCUAGGUGGGAUUAGCUAGUUGGUGAGGUAAUGGCUCACCAAGGCGACGAUCCCUAGCUGGUCUGAGAGGAUGAUCAGCCACACUGGAACUGAGACACGGUCCAGACUCCUACGGGAGGCAGCAGUGGGGAAUAUUGCACAAUGGGCGCAAGCCUGAUGCAGCCAUGCCGCGUGUGUGAAGAAGGCCUUCGGGUUGUAAAGCACUUUCAGUCGUGAGGAAGGUAGUGUAGUUAAUAGCUGCAUUAUUUGACGUUAGCGACAGAAGAAGCACCGGCUAACUCCGUGCCAGCAGCCGCGGUAAUACGGAGGGUGCGAGCGUUAAUCGGAAUUACUGGGCGUAAAGCGCAUGCAGGUGGUUUGUUAAGUCAGAUGUGAAAGCCCGGGGCUCAACCUCGGAAUAGCAUUUGAAACUGGCAGACUAGAGUACUGUAGAGGGGGGUAGAAUUUCAGGUGUAGCGGUGAAAUGCGUAGAGAUCUGAAGGAAUACCGGUGGCGAAAGCGGCCCCCUGGACAGAUACUGACACUCAGAUGCGAAAGCGUGGGGAGCAAACAGGAUUAGAUACCCUGGUAGUCCACGCCGUAAACGAUGUCUACUUGGAGGUUGUGGCCUUGAGCCGUGCUUUCGGAGCUAACGCGUUAAGUAGACCGCCUGGGGGAGUACGGUCGCAAGAUUAAAACUCAAAUGAAUUGACGGGGCCCGCAACAAGCGGUGGAGCAUGUGGUUUAAUUCGAUGCAAACGCGAAGAUCUUUACCUACUCUUGACAUCAAGAAGAACCUUUCAGAAGAUGAUGUGCUUCAGGGUAACUCUGAAACAGUGCUGCAUGGCUGUCGUCAGCUUCUGUUGGCCAGUGUGGUUUAAGGUCCGCAACGGAGCGCAACU
rnacentral:rRNA from 1 species